AGAAGAAGAAGGAUUAGUGUCAUUUGACCGCCAAAAAUAGGAGAAAAAAGAACGCUCAUUCAUCUUCUUCUUCCAUUUUUUUCUGAAAAUUCUUUUUUCUCAGAAACAAAGAAAAAAGUUCGUUAAAUAAUAAUAUGUAGAAGGUGGUGUGAAAACAGGGAAAAAGGAAAGUUUCGGCGACACUUUUUUUAGUGUAAAAGUAGAAGGAAUAGUAGAAGAGGG
ensembl:ncRNA C06E7.91 ncRNA